rnacentral:piRNA from 1 species
UUCUAAGGUGACUCACUCUAAUGGUUGGGA